GCAGCUGCCUGCCGUGCGAUCGCGCCCGGAGCCCGCCCAGACCACAGCCGCGUGCUCCCGGCGGCCCCGCGCCCCCGCCGCCCCGCCGCCGGCCCUGGUGGCGCCCGGCUUCGCGGGGUUUCGCUAACGCCUGCAGCCGCCGCGUCCCCUCCCUGGGAAUAGUGUUAUUCGACCUCCUUCUGCCAGGAGGACUCUCCCUGAAUCACUCCACCAGGCCAAAGUUAAUCAUAUGGAACAUUUUGCCUUUUACAUUUUGAAGCUAGCUUAAUAGGUAGCUCUCCAGUAUUCCCAGCACCAAUUAUUGAAGAAAUUAUCUUCCCCAAUGGUAUAUUUUUCCCUCCUUCAUCAGAAAGUAUUUAUCAUCACUUUGAAUAAAUAAUGCCACUCCCUUCAGGCCUACAGACUUCCUGUUGAAAAUCAGCUGAUUGCUGAUAGCAAUAUGAAUAUUAAAGCUACUGGUGAAAAAGACACAAGUUAUGAAGAGGAACUGAUCUUUCGGGACUAUGAGGAUGAAAGAAGUCUACUUUAUAAAAGUAUUUUAUUCAUCUCAGCUAUGUGAAAGUUCUAAAGAAUAUUCUCUAACUCAUGAUGGGUUAUAUAAAAUGUGCCCAAAAAGGAGGGCUUGAUUUUUAUUGUCUAUUUCUUGAGAGAAGCUGGUCCCACGUUUUCGUUACAGUUGGUAUUUCUACCUCACGGCGGGAAUGGCUGUCUGCUGGAUACCAUGCGUAUUUCUACCACCUGAAGAUCUCCAUGUGGAAAGUUCCAAGGUUAAUUUUCCUUCUUCCUGAAGAACCUGUCCAGUGCUUUCAAGUUCAAUCAAUGUGUCACUCCAGGGAAUGUGACAGCUGUGCAGAAAAACAACCUUUGCUCAUGUUUCUGGCUCCAGUUAUAGCAACACCAGGCAGCACAGGGCAACGAAAAUAGCAUGGUCGGAGGAAGGCGGACCCUGACCCUGAUUCCACGACUUAUCACCUGUCACCUUGGAAAAGAUUUUAUUUGGUGGUGGUAGGAUCUGAAAGAAACUUCUGACACCUCUGGGGAUGAUGAGAAACACAGGUGUGAUAUCUGAGAACCCUUCUGAGGACCAUAGCUUCUCUCUUAACUCAGACAAAGGGCCUAAAGGGCAAAGCAUCCUGUGAUGGGAACCCAAACUACCCCCUCAGGCAUAAGGACUGCCCCCAGCCCAGAAGACCCGGCAUGACUGGCCCCAAGACAAUGAUGACAUGACCUGACCUUCACUGCCCACCUGCAUGUACGCACUGACCUGUGUCUCACAUCUUCCUUAUAUAAACCUAGGAGUAUUUUCAGCACCUUGGAGACGGUCUUUGAGAUGCAAGUCCGUGGUCUUCCCACUGCUGGCCUCACUGAAAGAAAUUUCCUUCUGGUUUCACCACUACUGGUCUCUCUGCCUAUGGAUUUUGUCAGGAGUAGCUGAACCUGGUCUGUUCGGGCCCCCCGGAGCCAGGUGCUGUCGCACCCCUGCACCCCAGGGCUAUAGCUCUGGUGAGGCAGGCAGGAGCUGUACUUCUGAUUUGUCCAGCCCCAUUGAGACUCCCAGGGACAGAGCAGUUGGCCACAGCAGUGCACCAGGGCUCACUGGUCCCUUUCCUGAGCUAGUGGAUGUGACAGAUGUCCCUGGCAGGGAUAACAGAAAGUAUUUGCAGCUGCCAAAACCGGUUUCAUUUUGAGGACUUUCUUGCUUUUCCUGAAGUGGCAUCAGCUGCCUUAUUAACAGCAUUUGGUGAAACAUAAACAAAUUAGUAGUAGAGGGCCCCCAAAGAUUUGACUCCUCCCAUGAUGUUGGCUUCUUUUGAACCAUAUGUUUCAGGUUUUUAUAACCUAUUAGCUCAGGCUGUGGCAGGGGCCACUGUAAUUUGUGAAGGUACCAUUGGAAAAAGGAAUGGAUCAGAGGUAAACAGGAAGCAAGGGUACGCAUUUGGGGGAGAUCUCUGUUGGAGUUUCUGUGUAAUGUAUGUGUACAAGAUGGGGAAUGCUAACUCUAUCCCCUCCCAAAGCUCCUCCCUAGGGAGAAUACUGGCUGACUGGUCUCGUUUUAGUUAUAAACCUAGGACUAAGAAGUAAAUGAAUUUUCACUGUAACACCACCUAGCAUAUGUAGAUGUUAAGCUCAGAGGAAAGAUGACAACUGAAUGGCUCUUGGAUUCCUUCCUCACAUUCAGUUGCC